GAUGAACGCUGGCGGCGUGCCUAAUACAUGCAAGUCGAGCGAACGGACGCGAAGCUUGCUUUUCUGAUGUUAGCGGCGGACGGGUGAGUAACACGUGGAUAACCUACCUAUAAGACUGGGAUAACUUCGGGAAACCGGAGCUUAUACCGGAUAAUAUUUUGAACCGCAUGGUUCAAAAGUGAAGGACGGUCUUGCUGUCACUUAUAGCUGGAUCCGCGCUGCAUUAGCUAGUUGGUAAGGUAACGGCUUACCAAGGCAACGAUGCAUAGCCGACCUGAGAGGGUGAUCGGCCACACUGGAACUGGAACACGGUCCAGACUCCUACGGGAGGCAGCAGUAGGGAAUCUGCCGCAAUGGGCGAAAGCCUGACGGAGCAACGCCGCGUGAGUGAUGAAGGUCUUCGGAUCGUAAAACUCUGUUAUUAGGGAAGAACAUAUGUGUAAGUAACUGUGCACAGCGUGACGGUACCUAAUCAGAAAGCCACGGCUAACUACGUG
rnacentral:rRNA from 1 species